rnacentral:rRNA from 1 species
UACGUAGGGUGCAAGCGUUGUCCGGAAUUAUUGGGCGUAAAGAGCUCGUAGGUGGUUUGUCGCGUUGUUCGUGAAAACCGGGGGCUUAACCCUCGGCGUGCGGGCGAUACGGGCAGACUUGAGUACUGCAGGGGAGACUGGAAUUCCUGGUGUAGCGGUGGAAUGCGCAGAUAUCAGGAGGAACACCGGUGGCGAAGGCGGGUCUCUGGGCAGUAACUGACGCUGAGGAGCGAAAGCGUGGGGGAGCGAACAGG